CCCGUCCCUAAGACCACCUCCAAUGGUGGGUUUAGGGUGAGGUUCUUAAGAAAAAAAGAAAAAUAAAUAAAUAAAAAAUGAUACAAUUAGACAGAACCGCUUCUUAAUUAAGAGGAUAUAUGAUCGGUUGAAAUCCCAUAUGUGGCUAAUGUGUAUUGGAUCGUUGCUUUCACACGAAAGGGAAAAAAAAUGUCCCUUCUCUUUCUUCGUUAAUCUCACUUCUUCGUCAUUAUCAAAUACCGUCGCCGAUGUUGUCGAAAUCUCCAAAGGAGAUGAUGUUUAAUCCGAUUCUUUCAUCCUCGAUGUUCUCCUCCAAAUCCGUCCAUGCAAUCACCAUGAAGGGUCGGAUUCUUUUACUUUUAGAAAAGCUUUGUUUUCUGAAGAGAGAGAGAGGAAGAAGAAGAAGAAACAUCAGCCAUGUUUUCUGGGUUGUGGUUGUCUGCGCUGUUCCGUACAUCCUCUCGUAUUUCUCUGAUUCCAAGGAUGAGCUCAAGCUCGACUUCUAAGACUUGAUUUUCAGGGAACUUCUUCAGGUCUGAUGCUCAACAAGCGCAUGAUAGACAAGAAGACAUCUCUGGAGCUAAGGCUGACUUGAAGAUCAAUGAACCGGACUAAACCUGCAGUGGUGACAGAAACAUAAGCUGAAUGAUAUUUUAGAAUACAUAAACCAUAUGGUUAACAUGUGACACAAGAAGGCAUGAGAGUAGACACAACUGUAUUAAGUUUAGAUCAGUACUGUGAUUGCAUUAUAUGAGUAUUGUAUAUCUUAACUUGGUUUUUUUUCAAAUUGAAGUUGCUUGAUCCUU